rnacentral:lncRNA from 1 species
AACAUAUCGCACUCUGUUUGCGUAAGCUUAGGACAAGAGUAGAGUAUGAAGUUUUUGUAUUCUCUAUCACAGACUUCUUAUCUAAUCCAUAACUACCAUCGUCGAUAGUUCUCUCAUUUCCAAUUUUCUUCCCUAGACCUAUUAUAUUCAUGAAAUAUUUUGUGCAUAUACUGAUCUGAUACUGCCUCUUAGUUCAUGCUCUACAAUGAAUGAUCUAUUGUUAUCGACACCAUUUAGUUUCUCUCUCUAAAGUGGUCAACGUGUUAUUAGGUUUAAUAAAAAUUACAUGAUCUGAGCUCACAUUACAAGGUUGCAAUGUCAACCUAAAGUGGUCAACGUGUUAUAACUGACUCCUGU